CCCUUAGAUGUUCUGGGCUGCACGCGUGUUACAAUCGGGAGUACAACAAGAUUGCAGAUCCUAGUGGAUGAGUGGUUCUUCGAAAUUUUCUGAAGACUGGGAUAGUUGAUUGAAAUUAUUCAACUCGAACGAGGAAUUCCUUGUAAUUGUAAUUCAUUAUAUUGUAAUGAAUACGUCCCUGCCCUUUGUACACACCGCCCGUCGCUCCUACCGAUUGAACGAUCCGGUGAAUUAUUUGGAGUAGCUCUGGAAGUUGCAGAACUUCCUAUGUCACGAAAUUUUGUAAACCUUAUCGUUUAGAGGAAGGAAAAGUCGUAACA
rnacentral:rRNA from 1 species